AGGACUGCCAGGGGCAUGGAGUAUGGGGAUCCCCACUUUCCAGCUCUGUUUACAGUGCUUGGAUGACCAUAGUAUGGACAGCUGAAGGGAAUCCAGGGGACUGUGUCUGUAUUUCCUGGAGAUGAUCACUGUUCAGGCAAAGCAUGGGGCACAUGUCGUCAUCAAAUAUGGCUUAGGGCUGGAAAUGUCCACUGAAUUUCAUAGGAAAGAAACCCUUGUGGGAUCCUUGGGGAA
rnacentral:lncRNA from 1 species